GAUGAACGCUGGCGGCGUGCCUAAUACAUGCAAGUCGAGCGAACAGACGAGGAGCUUGCUCCUCUGACGUUAGCGGCGGACGGGUGAGUAACACGUGGAUAACCUACCUAUAAGACUAGGACAACUUCGGGAAACUGGAUAUAAUAUCGGAUAAUAUAGUGAACGGCAUGGAUCAAUAGUGAAAGACGGUUUUGCUGUCACUUAUAGAUGGAUCCGCGUCGCAUUAGCUAGUUGGUAAGGUAACGGCUUACCAAGGCGACGAUGCGUAGCCGACCUGAGAGGGUGAUCGGCCACACUGGGACUGAGACACGGCCCAGACUCCUACGGGAGGCAGCAGUAGGGAAUCUUCGACAAUGGGCGAAACCCUGACGGAGCAACGCCGCGUGAGUGAUGAAGGUCUUCGGGUCGUAAACCGCUUUUAUUCGGGAAGAACAAAUGUGUGAGUAUAUAUGCACGUCAUGACGGUACCUAAACAGAAAGCCACGGCUAACUACGUG
rnacentral:rRNA from 1 species